ensembl:snRNA U5 U5 spliceosomal RNA
AUACUCUGGUGUCUCUUCUCUUUAGUAUAAGGCAAAAGAUCACAUAAAUCCUUCGCCUUGUACUAAAGAUUUCCAUGGAGAGGAACAACUCUGAGUCUGAAAGCAAUUUUUUGAGGCUUUGCUCUGGCAAGCCU